ACGGGUGAGUAACACGUGGGUAACCUGCCUGUAAGACUGGGAUAACUCCGGGAAACCGGGGCUAAUACCGGAUGCUUGAUUGAACCGCAUGGUUCAAUCAUAAAAGGUGGCUUUUAGCUACCACUUACAGAUGGACCCGCGGCGCAAUAGCUAGUUGGUGAGGUAACGGCUCUCCAAAGAGACGAUGCGUAGACGACCUGAGAGGGUGAUCGGCCACACUG
rnacentral:rRNA from 1 species